CACGUAGGGGGCAAGCGUUGUCCGGAAUCAUUGGGCGUAAAGCGCGCGUAGGCGGCCCGGUAAGUCCGUUGUGAAAGUCAAAGGCUCAACCUUUGAACGCCGAUGGAUACUGCCGGGCUAGAGUCCGGAAGAGGCGAGUGGAAUUCCUGGUGUAGCGGUGGAAUGCGCAGAUAUCAGGAGGAACACCAAUAGCGAAGGCAGCUCGCUGGGACGGUACUGACGCUGAGGAGCGAAAGCGUGGGGAGCAAACAGG
rnacentral:rRNA from 1 species